rnacentral:rRNA from 1 species
CGCUGGCGGCGUGCCUAACACAUGCAAGUCGAACGAGGUCCAUCUGGUGGCAACACCAGAGAAGACCUAGUGGCGAACGGGUGAGUAACACGUGAGAAACCUGCCCCGAAGACCGGGAUAACUCUCCGAAAGGAGAGCUAAUACCGGAUGCCCCCACCUGGCCGCAUGACCGGGCGAGGAAAUGGAUUCCGCUUCGGGAGGGUCUCGCGGCCUAUCAGCUUGUUGGCGGGGUAACGGCCCACCAAGGCAUCGACGGGUAGCUGGUCUGAGAGGACGAUCAGCCACACUGGGACUGAGACACGGCCCAGACUCCUACGGGAGGCAGCAGUGGGGAAUCUUGCGCAAUGGGCGAAAGCCUGACGCAGCAACGCCGCGUGGGGGAUGAAGGCUCUCGGGUUGUAAACCCCUUUCAGCAGGGACGAACCAAGACGGUACCUGCAGAAGAAGCCCCGGCUAACUACGUGCCAGCAGCCGCGGUAACACGUAGGGGGCAAGCGUUGUCCGGAUUUAUUGGGCGUAAAGAGCUCGUAGGUGGCUGAGUAAGUCGGAUGUCAAAUUCCCAGGCUCAACCUGGGGUCCCAUCCGAUACUGCUCUGGCUAGAGUCCGGUAGGGGAGCGUGGAAUUCCUAGUGUAGCGGUGAAAUGCGCAGAUAUCAGGAGGAACACCAGCGGCGAAGGCGGCGCUCUGGGCCGGUACUGACACUGAGGAGCGAAAGCGUGGGUAGCAAACAGGAUUAGAUACCCUGGUAGUCCACGCCGUAAACGUUGGGCACUAGGUGUGGGACCUAUUCAACGGGUUC